rnacentral:rRNA from 1 species
UACGGGGGGAGCAAGCGUUGUCCGGAAUUAUUGGGCGUAAAGGGCUCGUAGGCGGUUUGUCGCGUCGGGAGUGAAAUCCACUGGCUUAACUGGUGGCUUGCUUUCGAUACGGGCAGACUGGAGGUAUGCAGGGGAGAACGGAAUUCCUGGUGUAGCGGUGAAAUGCGCAGAUAUCAGGAGGAACACCGGUGGCGAAGGCGGUUCUCUGGGCAUGUCCUGACGCUGAGGAGCGAAAGUGUGGGGAGCGAACAGG